rnacentral:tRNA from 1 species
CGGGAUGUGGCGCAGCUUGGUAGCGCAUCCGCUUUGGGAGCGAGGGUCGCAGGUUCAAAUCCUGUCAUCCCGACCA